AACGAACGCUGGCGGCAUGCCUAACACAUGCAAGUCGAACGAGACCUUCGGGUCUAGUGGCGCACGGGUGCGUAACGCGUGGGAACCUGCCCUUAGGCUCGGAAUAACUCCCCGAAAGGGGUGCUAAUACCGGAUAAUGUCUUCGGACCAAAGAUUUAUCGCCUUUGGAUGGGCCCGCGUUGGAUUAGCUAGUUGGUAGGGUAAAAGCCUACCAAGGCGACGAUCCAUAGCUGGUCUGAGAGGAUGAUCAGCCACACUGGGACUGAGACACGGCCCAGACUCCUACGGGAGGCCGCAGUGGGGAAUAUUGGACAAUGGGCGAAAGCCUGAUCCAGCAAUGCCGCGUGAGUGAUGAAGGCCUUAGGGUUGUAAAGCUCUUUUACCCGGGAUGAUAAUGACAGUACCGGGAGAAUAAGCUCCGGCUAACUCCGU
rnacentral:rRNA from 1 species